rnacentral:sRNA from 1 species
CUUUAGUGGGACCCAAAAACACACAGGCCAGCAAGGCGAGAGAUUUCUCCGGUCGAGCAAAGGGCAGUUCCCAUAACACCCAGAGUGAGCUUUCCUGAAGCCGGUUUGCAGACUAAGGCCAGCAAGGUAGGCAAGAGCUGGUUGAGCAAAGGGGCGGUGCCCAGAACACCCACAGAGAGCUUUCCUGACAGCAAUAUGCAAUUGAUAUCUCCUCAGAUUCCAAGGGAAAAACAUGUGCCGUCGUUCGGUAUUGUUGCAUAUAUAUCUCCAUGUAGUUCGAGAAGUGUGUUUAGUGAAUAGGUGCUGAUGUGUCUCACCAUGAACAUUAUAAAAUUUAAUAAACCCCCCGUAGAUCGAUCAUGUAAACUAGCAAACAAAUAUGAUUUCUCAACAGUCCUUAUAAGUGUCUCUUCAUCUUGGUCAGUAAAGGACUUCCAAUGCAUAGUUUGCAAGUACAGACCCUGAACCUACGACAUGGUAGGCCCAGCUUUUCAAGGUAUAAUGAGGCGUAUCUGCUAAGGGACCAUCAACGUGGAAAAUCUCUUGUCUAAGUCCUUUAGCAAUGAUUAUUGAACAUGUUUAAAAAAGGAGGAUUUCUUUUCGUUACUGAUGGACGCCGCACAAAAUCUUUAAAAAAUGAUGAAAGAAAAAUCAUUUGUGAUAAUGUCAUAAAACGAUAGGCCAUCUCUGGAAACGUGUGCUAGAGUGUGAAUUGAGUCGUUCUGCCAGCUGGAUCGGUAAAAACGAUAGGCCGUCUCUGGAAACGUGUGAUAGAGUGUGAAUUGAGU